UUUGACCUCAAAUCAGGUAGGACUACCCGCUUGAACUUAAGCAU
rnacentral:rRNA from 1 species